GAUGAACGCUGGCGGCGUGCCUAAUACAUGCAAGUCGAGCGAACGGACGAGAAGCUUGCUUCUCUGUUGUUAGCGGCGGACGGGUGAGUAACACGUGGAUAACCUACCUAUAAGACUGGGAUAACUUCGGGAAACCGGAGCUAAUACCGGAUAAUAUUUUGAACCGCAUGGUUCAAAAGUGAAAGACGGUCUUGCUGUCACUUAUAGAUGGAUCCGCGCUGCAUUAGCUAGUUGGUAAGGUAACGGCUUACCAAGGCAACGAUGCAUAGCCGACCUGAGAGGGUGAUCGGCCACACUGGAACUGAGACACGGUCCAGACUCCUACGGGAGGCAGCAGUAGGGAAUCUUCCGCAAUGGGCGAAAGCCUGACGGAGCAACGCCGCGUGAGUGAUGAAGGUCUUCGGAUCGUAAAACUCUGUUAUUAGGGAAGAACAUAUGUGUAAGUAACUGUGCACAUCUUGACGGUACCUAAUCAGAAAGCCACGGCUAACUACGUGCCAGCAGCCGCGGUAAUACGUAGGUGGCAAGCGUUAUCCGGAAUUAUUGGGCGUAAAGCGCGCGUAGGCGGUUUUUUAAGUCUGAUGUGAAAGCCCACGGCUCAACCGUGGAGGGUCAUUGGAAACUGGAAAACUUGAGUGCAGAAGAAGAAAGUGGAAUUCCAUGUGUAGCGGUGAAAUGCGCAGAGAUAUGGAGGAACACCAGUGGCGGAAGCGACUUUCUGGUCUGUAACUGACGCUGAUGUGCGAAAGCGUGGGAUCAACCCAGGAUUAGAUACCCUGGUAGUCCACGCCGUAAACGAUGAGUGCUAAGUGUUAGGGGGUUUCCGCCCCUUAGUGCUGCAGCUAACGCAUUAAGCACUCCGCCUGGGGAGUACGACCGCAAGGUUGAAACUCAAAGGAAUUGACGGGGACCCGCACAAGCGGUGGAGCAUGUGGUUUAAUUCGAAGCAACGCGAAGAACCUUACCAAAUCUUGACAUCCUUUGACAACUCUAGAGAUAGAGCCUUCCCCUUCGGGGGACAAAGUGACAGGUGGUGCAUGGUUGUCGUCAGCUCGUGUCGUGAGAUGUUGGGUUAAGUCCCGCAACGAGCGCAACCCUUAAGCUUAGUUGCCAUCAUUAAGUUGGGCACUCUAAGUUGACUGCCGGUGACAAACCGGAGGAAGGUGGGGAUGACGUCAAAUCAUCAUGCCCCUUAUGAUUUGGGCUACACACGUGCUACAAUGGACAAUACAAAGGGCAGCGAAACCGCGAGGUCAAGCAAAUCCCAUAAAGUUGUUCUCAGUUCGGAUUGUAGUCUGCAACUCGACUACAUGAAGCUGGAAUCGCUAGUAAUCGUAGAUCAGCAUGCUACGGUGAAUACGUUCCCGGGUCU
rnacentral:rRNA from 1 species